rnacentral:sRNA from 1 species
UUGCUUUUACAAGUGGGAUGCUCAGGAGGUUUGAAUGAUUUAUGUUGGAUGGGGUAAUGACAGGUUUGCACUGUGACCCAGAGACAGGUGUCUGCAGUGAAAUUGAACACAAGAGGAUGUCGUUGGAGAUGACAGAGGCAAGGCAUUGAAAGGCUAUAAGGCUGUGGUGUGGGACAGGUCCCUGGGUGUUCAGUUGCCCAGGAUGAUGAAAGGGGUAGACUCAGGUGGAUAGAAAGACCCCAUGCCAUGACCUAGGGCUUUGCUGGGUUGCCGAUAUAGAAUCUGGCAGACAGAUUCAGCUGAUCAACCGAAAGUCUCUGCGAUCUCUCACUGCCCAGUUGCUGGUAUUGUUGAUGUCUUGGGAAGGAACUACCCAUCUUUCUGUUGAGGAGCUCAAGAGACAUUACGAAAGUACCCACAACACUCCCCUUAACCCCUGUGAAUAUGGAUUCAUGACCUUGACCGAACUGCUGAAGAGCCUGCCGUACUUGGUUGAGGUUUUCACUAAUGAUAAGAUGGAAGAAUGUGUGAAGCUCACAAGUCUGUAUUUGUUUGCGAAGAACGUGCGGUCUU